AAAAAAAUAAAAUAAAAAAUACAUAUAUUCAGUAGAGCGAGGGCAAGCGACUAGAUUAGGAAUGGCUAUGCCACGAUUCCCUCAAGCUGUAUCGAACGAAAACUCAGAGACAAAACCACACACCCACAAAAAAAAAACCACAUACAGUGCUGGUGGAUUAAAGCCCUAACCGGUGAAAAUGUUUUUCCCUCUUUCCAUCAAGCCUCUUUCAGUUAGCCAUCAGAGCAAACCCUAACCCCUAAAGAAGAAACCCUAAAUCUGGAAUCCUCCAUUAGAAACGCGAAGGUGUGUUCGGCGAUUUGGAGACGACCGCUGCUGCUAGUUGGGCUAGAGGAGUUCAAUUUUUGAAGAGGAUGCAUACGAACAGGAUGCUGAACCAAAAGACCGAAAAAAUUGGGAAGCUUUGUGAUUAUGCUUUGAAAAAUCCAUUACGAAUACCGAAGAAUGUGCUUCAUCUUCAUUUUGGUGAGCUUUAAAUCUUGUUUGCAAAGUUUGUUUCCGAGGUCAAAGCUAGAAUUGCGGGUUGCUGUUGCCGUUACUUUUUUUGUUGCCGCUAUAUUUUUUGUAUGGCUCAUGAAGAAGUUGCAAGAAGAUACAAAGAAUUUUUGUUUUAUUUUGGUUAAGUAAAUAUAUGAGGUGUGGAUCAUGUACUUAUUUGAAAUUUGUAUAUGGCUAAUUUUUGUAUAAAACAAUGAUUUAGAAUUGGUUUUAUAUAUAUAUAUAUGAUGUUAUUGGUUAGUUGUAAA